ACUGCGCCGAAGAUGUACCGGGGCUAAAGCAUAAUACCGAAACUGCGGAUUACUUUGUAAUGGUAGGGGAGCGUUCUAAGUGCGCUGAAGGUUGAUCGUAAGGACAGCUGGAGCGCUUAGAAGUGAGAAUGCCGGUAUGAGUAGCGCAAGACGUGUGAGAAUCACGUCCACCGUUUGCCCAAGGUUUCCUGGGUCAAGUUCGUCUUCCCAGGGUUAGUCGGGUCCUAAGGCGAGGCCGAAAGGCGUAGUCGAUGGACAACAGGUUGAUAUUCCUGUACCACCUAUAUGACUGAUGGAGUGACGAAGGAGGCUAACAAGUGCCUGUUAUUGGAUUCAGGUCUAAGCACAAAGGCUUAUAUGUAGGGAAAUCCGCAUAUUGGUAGGCUGAAGUGUGAUGGCGAAGAGAGUAGCAAUACAAUUGAAGACUUGUGACGCCAAACUUCCAAGAAAAGCUUCUAGGGUUAAUCGUAUAGGUGCCCGUACCGAGAACCGCCACAGGUGGGCAAGGAGAGUAUCCUAAGGUGAGCGAGAGAACUAUGGUUAAGGAACUCGGCAAAAUAACCCCGUAACUUAGGGAGAAGGGGUGGUCUAGCGAUAGACCCGCAGUAAAGACGUCCAGGCAACUGUUUACCAAAAACACAGGUCUCUGCAAAGCCGUAAGGCGAAGUAUAGGGGCUGACACCUGCCCAGUGCUGGAAGGUUAAUAGGAGAGGUUAGUAUUUGACUUUGUCAACAUGAUACGAAGCUUUGAAUUGAAGCCCCAGUGAACGGCGGCCGUAACUAUAACGGUCCUAAGGUAGCGAAAUUCCUUGUCAGGUAAGUUCUGACCCGCACGAAAGGUGUAAUGAUCUGGAUACUGUCUCAACCAUAGGCUCGGUGAAAUUUUAAUACCUGUGAAAAUGCAGGUUACCCGCGACAGGACGGAAAGACCCCAUGGAGCUUUACUGUAGCUUGAUAUUGAAAUUUGAUAUUCUUUGUAGAGGAUAGGUGGUAGACUUUGAUACUAGGACGCCAGUUCUAGUGGAGUCGCCCUUGGAAUACCACCCUUGGAAUAUUAGAUUUCUAACCUAGGACCGUAAUCCGGUUCGGGGACAGUGUCUGGUGGGCAGUUUGACUGGGGCGGUCGCCUCCCAAAUAGUAACGGAGGCGCCCAAAGGUUACCUCAGAAUGGUUGGAAAUCAUUCGCAGAGUGUAAAGGUAUAUAGGUAGCUUAACUGCGAGACUUACAAGUCAAGCAGAUACGAAAGUAGGGCUUAGUGAUCAGGCGAUUCAGU
rnacentral:rRNA from 1 species